rnacentral:lncRNA from 1 species
ACAGCAAGGCCUGGAGCUGUACAGUUCAAAUGUUUGCUGUGGAACUUCAGACCCUACCUAGUCUGAGAAAUUUUUAAAAAGUAAAAAAAAAGUUGGUUUUUCUCUUUUAGAACUAAAGAAGGCCUGAAUCUGAGUUUCUUAAAAAAAUAAAUAAAUAAAUUAUUGUAUAUUUAUUUAACUCUUAGAAGGAUCUCCUAGACCAGCUUAAUUAAAACACACACACACACACACACACACACGCACACACACACACACACAUUUGUUUCUAUUGAAUGAGCAAAUCUUGAAUUAGAAAAUCACCAACGUUCUCAAGCUGAAAAACGGGGAGAUUUUUAACUGGGAAAAAUUGGGCGUGGAGGGGUCAGCAGUGGCCAGUCCACACAUAACUUAGCUGGGAAGGAAGCUGGCCUAUAUCCUAUUAGCAGUGGGAAAUCAGGGGAGGGUUUGAAGCAGACAAAGGCUAUGAUCAGAUUCUGAUCUUGGAAAACAUCCUCCUGGCUGCUUUGUGGAGAAGAGCUGGGAGAGAACCGAAACAAACUCAAGGAGACCAGGAAAGGGAUAAACGGGAUGUGCACAAGUAUGUUUCUGGAAAGACAACGCUGUGUGUUUGCCUUACUUCCUUUUUCUCCUGGGCAUUCAUCUGGACUACAUUUCCCAGGAUCCUCUGCAGCGAGGUUCUUUACCCAGGAGAGAUGAAAACAUAUGUCUCUACAAAGACUUGUAGGCAAAUAUGUGUGGCAGCUGUCUUCAUAUGAACCCCAAACUGGAAACAACUCAAAUUUCUAUCACCAGGGAUGUGGAUAAAUAAAACCAUGGACCAUCCAUACUAUGGAAUAUUACUCAGUAAUUAAAAGAGAGGAACUGCUGAUAUACACAAUAACAUGGAACUGCAUGCUAAGGGAAAGAUGCCAGACCCCGGAGAGAACAUCCUGUACAAGCCCAUUUGUGUAAAACUCGGGGACAGGCAAAGCUGAACUGCAGUGAAAGAAAUCAAUGCAUGAGGCGGGGUGCGGUGGCUUCCGCCUAUAAUCCCAGCACUUUGGGAGGCCAAAGCAGGUGGAUCACCUGAGGCUGAGAGUUCGAGACCAGCCUUACCAACAUGGAAAAACCCUGUCUCUACUAAAAAUACAAAAAAUUCGUGGGGCGUGGUGGUGCAUGUCUGUAAUCCCAGCUACUCGAGAGGCUGAGGCAGGAGAAUCGCUUGAACCUGGGUGGCAGAGGUUACAGUGAACUGAGAUCACGCCACUGCCCUACAGCUUGGGCAGCAAGAGCAAAAACUCCUUCUCAAAAUAAAAAAAUCAAUGCACAAGGCUGGGCGCAGUGGUUGACACCUGUAAUCCCAGCACUUUGGGAGGCCGAGCUUGGUGGAUCACUUGAGGUCAGGAGUUCGAGACCAGCCAUGGCCAGUAUGGUGAAACCCUGUCUCUGCUAAAAAUACGAAAUUAGCUGGUCAUGGUGGCAUGUAUGCCUGUAGUCCCAGCUACUCAGGAGGCUGAGGUGGGAGAAUCGCUUGAAUUCUGGAGGUGGAGAUUGCAGUGAGCCGGAUCACGCCACUGCACUCCAGCCUGGGCAACAGAGUGAGAAUCCAACUGAGAAAAAAAAAAGAAAUCAAUGCACAAGUCUCUGGGGGCUGAAGGUGAUUGCAAAUGAGAAGGGAAGUUUCUGGGGUGUGGGAAUUGUCUCAAAUCUUAUUCAAGUGAUAAUUUCAAGGGUGAACAAAAGUGUAAAAACUCAUUAAAGUGAACACUUAAGAUGUACACAAUUUAUGCUACCCUAAUUAUAUUUGUCGUCAGCAAAAAUAUCUUUUUUGGGGAGUGGGAACAGGGUGUU